GAACGGUAACAGGAAGACAGUUUGCUGUCUUCGCUGACGAGUGGCGGACGGGUGAGUAAUGUCUGGGAAACUGCCUGUGGAGGGGGAUAACUACUGGAAACGGUAGCUAAUACCGCAUAACGUCGCAAGACCAAAGAGGGGGACCUUAGGGCCUCUUGCCAUCGGAUGUGCCCAGAUGGGAUUAGCUAGUAGGUGGGGUAACGGCUCACCUAGGCGACGAUCCCUAGCUGGUCUGAGAGGAUGACCAGCCACACUGGAACUGAGACACGGUCCAGACUCCUACGGGAGGCAGCAGUGGGGAAUAUUGCACAAUGGGCGCAAGCCUGAUGCAGCCAUGCCGCGUGUAUGAAGAAGGCCUUCGGGUUGUAAAGUACUUUCAGCGGGGAGGAAGGGAGUAAAGUUAAUACCUUUGCUCAUUGACGUUACCCGCAGAAGAAGCACCGGCUAACUCCGUGCCAGCAGCC
rnacentral:rRNA from 1 species